GCCUCUGCGCUGGACUUGCAGCUCCCUUCCAGUGGGCCUCAGCCCUGAGGGCUCUGGGAACAGACUCUAGGGAAGGAUGAACAUUAGAGGGAGCAGCCAGCAGCAGGAAGAUACAUGACUCACUGACUGAAUCCAUUUGUGCUGAAAGGGCCUUAAGAGGAUCAGUGUUACCUCUUUCAUUUAUGGAGGAGGAAAUGAGGCCCAGAGAGGGUGAAGGCUUACCUGAGGCCACACAACUCUGGAUGUAGUUGGCUGGCCCUGAACUUGGUCCAUAGUCCCAGGAUGCAGAUUUUACCCCUGGAAGUCCAACGGUGAUCUGGAGAAAUGACAAGAACGUCCUGCUCAGCACAGCCGAGGCCAGAUGGGAUGUCUUUAACAAUCUCUAUGAGUGGCCACAUGAUUCAGUUCUGGCCAAUAAAUUGCAAAGGGAGAGUAUUCUCAUAACAGCAGUCCUAUUGUACGAGAACGAAACCCCAAUACAUGAAAGCUCCUGUCUCCGAGGACCUCCUCUGCAGGUCACUGCCAUCCACAUGCUGCCUGGUCCUGUCUUCCCAGGCUAUCCCUUUCUUCAAAAUGGCAGCAGAGGCAGACACCUCUUAACAAAUAACUCUACCCUUGGGCCUUUGGUGACUCCUCGCUCCUCCCAACAUACUCACCUGGACCCCAUUAGUCUUGGUCCCAACCUCCCUUAGGAAUCUGUGUUUAUGUAAAAAGUACUGCCAAGAGUUACCUGUGUGCCGUUACCAGUAGCUUAUAGAGUCACAUUUCAACUCGGUUAAGCCAGGGAAGGGAAGCCAAUGGCAGGAGCUGACACAGAAGCA